UAAACGACGAAGAUGAUGGCAUCUAAGCUGGAACUCGAUUCUCCUCUGUCAUAUGCAGCCGACAACUAUGGCAGUGAGGGUGGGGUUUCCCUAUUGGAUCGCAGCUUGGCAAAUGUGUAU
rnacentral:precursor_RNA from 15 species